rnacentral:rRNA from 1 species
CCUGAGCCUUGUACACACCGCCCGUCAAGUCAUGGGAGCCGGGAACGGCCGAAGUUGUCUGGACACACAGAUACCUACGCCGGGCUCGGUGACUGGGACU